rnacentral:misc_RNA from 1 species
UCAUCCGGCGAUGUGUGCU